rnacentral:hammerhead_ribozyme from 1 species
AUUCAACUGACGAGUCUCAAACAGGACGAAACGCUCGUCGAACCGGAU